rnacentral:rRNA from 1 species
UACAGAGGUCCCGAGCGUUGUUCGGAUUCACUGGGCGUAAAGGGUGCGUAGGCGGCGUGGUAAGUUUGAUGUGAAAGCUCAGGGCUUAACCCUGAAAUGGCAUUGAAUACUACUGUGCUGGAGGUUUGGAGGGGGGACUGGAAUUCUUGGUGUAGCAGUGAAAUGCGUAGAUAUCAAGAGGAACACCAGUGGCGAAGGCGAGUCCCUGGACAACACCUGACACUGAGGCACGAAAGCUAGGGGAGCAAACAGG